GUAACCAAGUUACUGUAACCAAGUUACCAUAGCCAAGUUACUGUAACCAAGUUACCAUAGCCAAGUUACCAUAACCAAGUUAAUAUUGACUUCUGUUCAUGUCCUUGGUUUUAGGAUGGAGUGUUUGUGACCUUUGACCCUGCAUGUUGACAUAAGAGCUGUCCAAAUGAAGCAGCUGAGGAACCACACACACUGGGACAGAUCUAAUGGUAACUUCCUGUCAUUUUGGAGUUGUGUUUAUCCUGGUUUGUAUCUGUUUUAGCUAACUUUAAUGUUUCCAUAUUUUUAUUCCACAUUGUUACGGCUAUAUUCCAUCUUUAGUCCGACUGUUACACAUGUUUCAUUCUCUCCCACUCGUAUUGCUUUAAUUCUUUUAUGUUUUUAUACUACUGUAAAACGUACUCUCUUACUGCAGUUCAUCUAUACGACCUUUUUUAAUAUCGUACCUUCAUAUAUUGUACGUUGUUAUCAAACCAAUGUUGAACAUUUAACAACAUUAUUACUGAUAUUUCCAAUGAAAAGCCUUUGGCCUGAGGCGUUUGAGGACAUGAUGAUAUAGGCAGUAAAUCACAUUAUCUAAGCUCUCAUUCAUUUGAAACACACACUCCGUAGAUCACAUGAGAAGCACUCGGACCAUAAAAGUUACAGGUCAAUAAACCUGCCGGUGGUGAUUAAUGCAGUGUCCAUUAUUCAAGCUAACGUUGAAUUAUUAAUUCAGGCAAAAAAUUCAAGUCAAGGACGACUUUUGUAUUAGGAAUAAUCGGUUUAUUUCAAGUAUCAAACAUUAAGGCAGUGUUUUCUAAUUGAAUGUCAACUGUCUAAAAUGUGUUCUGAGGAAGAACAGAUAAAUAUAUCAGAAAAAUUUACCUAAAAACAACAACAUUUUCCGUUCACAGUUUAUAGCUUUUGCCUUAACAUGUUGAGAAUUUCAACUGUUGUACAAAUUUAGUACAAAAAUUUAGAGCACAGUUAAAAAAUGGCACAAACUCCCCACCCCCAAAUACACAAACAUGUAACAUACGGUAAAUGCUGGAUUUAUCAAAGAAAAAACAAUGGACAACAGUAGAAAACUGAAUGAUGAUGACAGUCAUCUGUUAGUUCAUAAAAAAAAAGGAUUUCCUUUCACCCAGCAGCCUCUAGCCACAGUAGUGCUGACCUUAAGGCACAGCAUUAAUGAAGUGAUGAAUGUGCCAUGACAUCAUCAGGAGUAACAUCGAAAAUGAUCCAUGUAAGGACCCAGACGAUAAGAUUGUGCUUGGUGUGUGAAGAAAAGCAGCAGAGUGAGGCAGAACUGUUGAAGAAAAUAUCCAUCUUUCUUCAAUUCCUACAAAUACGUCAUUUCAGGUUUCAUACUGAGUAAAUAAAUUUAGUGAUCAAUUUAAAUCAAAGUAAAUCAAAAGUAGAUGAUCAUUACAUUUUAUUACCUAUACUUUUAAUGACAUUUUAAAAAACAU